rnacentral:lncRNA from 1 species
UUUGUAGUUUUCUAAAACAUUCUUAUGACCAGAUGAGGUAAGGACUUGAUUCUAUUUUUGAUUCAGCUUCCUGAGUCUUAAUAUCUCUUUGUAUAAAGAAGACACUAAUAGCUUAGUUUAAAAGGUUCGGUGUUUUAGAACAAAAAAAAAAAAAAAAUCACAGUAGGGCUGGAGAGUUGGCUCUAUUUGAGCCUUUGGAGUUCUUGUGAAGACCCAGAUUCAACUCUCAGAACCUACGUGAUGGUUGACAGCCAUUUGUAACUCUGGUCCCAGGAGACCCAAAGCCUCAUUUUUACUUUUUGGGUACCAGGCACACAUGUGGUGCAUACACACCAUAGAGGCAAAACACUCAUACAAAUAAUAUAGUAAAAUAAACAAGUCAAAAGAAUUUUUUAAAUCACACUAAGAGUAUCUAUCCUCUCAUUUUGUGAAUGUUCUUAGAAUGUGUUUGUUGGUUUUCCAAGUCUUCCUGAUUUGUAUCUUGAAAAUGGAUGGUUCCAGGGAUAGAUUUUAAUUUAUAGUUUUUAUUUUUUAAAUUAUUCAAAAGAAGAGUAAGUCUUCCGAAAGCUAGUGCUAUGGCAAGUUUUUUAAUUGAUGAGCUUUUCUUUUUUUAUUUUUUUUGGAUUCUUGGUUAGCAAAUGUGGGUUUUUUUUUUUUUUUUCACCAAUGUUUCUCUGAACAUUCACUUCAUGAAUCCCUGUAUAAGAAUCAGGAUGAUAUCAUGGAUUCUUUUGACUGAAGUCUCCACUUAAGCAUAUAAUAACGAACAGAUAAUAUUGCUUGAUGAGAAAACAAUAGUCGCUCCCAUAGAUAGUGUAAUGAUGCAAGUUGAUAGGAUACUCUGUGUCUGUAACUCUCCAUCACACCCCUUUUACAACCAUCUUUAGUUGUUUCUAAAACUCUCUAAUACAGAAAUUCCCAUUUUUCAUACCAGAAUUUCGCCUAUUUUUUGUCUUAAAUAUUUUAGUGUCCUUGAUACCUUUCUAAGUUGCUUUUAUUUGUCUAGUUUCUAUGAUAUCAGAAACACUUUCUGAGAAUUUGCCCACAACUAUAAUCUACUAUAUUCAUAUAGCUUGUGUACAUCACCCAUUUGUAAUAGGGAAAAGAAGAGGUUUGUUUCUCUGAAAGUAAAGGUAAUUGUGUUUGCUUUGUGAUACAGGUGGCACUUGUCAGUGUUCCUGGAAUGAGCAAAUGAGUCGGGGGGUGGGGGUGGGGAGUGGUCGUCGAGUAAAGCAUAUAUAAGAAAUCAUUGCACUGAUACACCACACAUACGAAUCUACGACAGGGACAGUAAUACCUCAGCUAUACACUAAGCAGAGAUGCAGGGAACGAAGGCAGGACCCAGAGAAGCUGUAGGUCGGACUUGUGGAGUUGUGGUCAUAUCCCACCGCAUCCUUGGGUCUGGAAGGAGAUGAUCCAAGUUACUUAGUUAAAAGGGUCUCCUGUUCAGGAAGACUAGGGGAUUUCAACGCCUUUAUAUGUGUGCAGUGAAACUUUGCUUGAAUUCAUCUAUUGACUUAAUGUCUCCUCGUUCCAUCCCAGUCAACAGUGAAAAGCAACUCUUGGACACCAUUAGUAGGCUAUCCUUUAGUCUAUACGCUAGCGUUGAGGGGAUUAGUAAAAGCAGCCUUCCCUAAGUCCUGUCAGUCCCCCCAGCCCAUUUCCACCACGUGGUUGACUGGCACAUUAUCUUCAGCAAAGGAGUCGGCUGUGCUCUAUGUAGGAAUACAUGCAUUACUAUUAUUAACAACACAUAUACCCACAUACACACACAUAUGGAAAAUGUCUAUGUAGAAUAAUAAAAAUAUUCUUCCUCUUCAUAGCAAAACUGCUAUGUGUGUGGCACUGAGAUGCAAGCCCUUUCUGCUGUCUAUCAAAUUUUUCUUUAUUUGAUGAUAGGUAUAAAUUAUUCAUGAAGGUAAUUGAAUUAUAUAUAAAGAAAUAUUGGACUUGGAGGACUUUUAAGGUCCUUCAAGUGUCACAUUUUUUCUUAGUGAUGAUGACCACCAAGGGCUGGCUUGGUAACUGUCACCAGUAACUGCUCAUCAGCAACGUGGGGGAUGUAAUGGCAGGGGGAGCACUCUGUCUUCAAACCAAGGUGUCAGGUUUGUAUUUUAUCUGG